GUCUGGUGCCAGCAGCCGCGGUAAUUCCAGCUCCAAUAGCGUAUAUUAAAAUUGUUGCAGUUAAAAAGCUCGUAGUUGAAUUUCUGCUGCAUUACAUAUCUCUUGUUUGAGUUUGUUUUUGUGGCUUAUUUCGGUUUGAUUUUUUCUUUCCGGAUGAUUACUUUGAGAAAAUUAGAGUGCUCAAAGCAGGCUUUUGCCUUGAAUAGUUUAGCAUGGAAUAAUAAAGUAGGACUUUGGUUCUAUUUUGUUGGUUUUAGGUACCAAAGUAAUGGUUAAUAGGAACAGUUGGGGGCAUUCGUAUUUAACUGUCAGAGGUGAAAUUCUUAGAUUUGUUAAAGACGAACUACUGCGAAAGCAUUUGCCAAGGAUGUUUUCAUUAAUCAAGAACGAAAGUUAGGGGAUCGAAGACGAUCAGAUACCGU
rnacentral:rRNA from 1 species